rnacentral:rRNA from 1 species
GACGAACGCUGGCGGCGUGCUUAACACAUGCAAGUCGAACGGAAAGGCCCUGCUUGCAGGGUACUCGAGUGGCGAACGGGUGAGUAACACGUGGGUGGUCUGCCCUGCACUUCGGGAUAAGCCUGGGAAACUGGGUCUAAUACCGGAUAGGAGCCAUUUUUAGUGUGAUGGUUGGAAAGUUUUUUCGGUGUAGGGUGAGCUCGCGGCCUAUCUGCUUGUUGGUGCGGUAAUGGCCUACCGAGGCGGCGACGGGUAGCCGGACUGUGAGGGUGGACGGCCACAUUGGGACUGAGAUACGGCACCGACUCCUACGGGAGGGAGCAGUGGGGAAUCCUGAACAAUGGGCGCCAGCCUGAUGCAGAGACGCCGCGUGGGGGAUGACGGCCUUAGGGUUGUAGACUCCUUUCGCUAGGGACGAAGCUUUUUGUGACGGUACCUAGAUAAGAAGCCCCGGCUAACUACGUG